GAUGAACGCUGGCGGCGUGCCUAAUACAUGCAAGUCGAGCGAACGGACGAGAAGCUUGCUUCUCUGAUGUUAGCGGCGGACGGGUGAGUAACACGUGGAUAACCUACCUAUCAGACUGGGAUAACUUCGGGAAACCGGAGCUAAUACCGGAUAAUAUUUUGAGCCGCAUGGUUCAAAAGUAAAAGACGGUCUUGCUGUCACUUAUAGAUGGAUCCGCGCUGCAUUAGCUAGUUGGUAAGGUAACGGCUUACCAAGGCUACGAUGCAUAGCCGACCUGAGAGGGUGAUCGGCCACCCUGGAACUGAGACACGGUCAUGACUCCUACGGGAGGCAGCAGUAGGGAAUCUUCCGCAGUGGGCGAGAGCCUGGCGGAGCAACGCCGCGUGAGUGAUGAAGGUCUUCGGAUCGUAAAGCUCUGUUAUGAGGGAAGAACAUAUGUGUAAGUAACUGUGCACAUCUUGACGGUACCUAAUCAGAAAGCCACGGCUAACUACGUG
rnacentral:rRNA from 1 species